rnacentral:rRNA from 1 species
UGGGGAAUUUUGCGCAAUGGGCGAGAGCCUGACGCAGCAACGCCGCGUGGGUGAUGAAGGUCUUCGGAUCGUAAAACCCUGUCGUCAGGGACGAAGGUCACGAGUUUAAGAGAUGCGUGACUUGACGGUACCUGGAGAGGAAGCCCCGGCUAACUCUGUGCCAGCAGCCGCGGUAAUACAGAGGGGGCAAGCGUUAUUCGGAAUUAUUGGGCGUAAAGGGCGCGUAGGCGGUGUCUUAAGUGAGACGUGUAAUCCCCGAGCUUAACUUGGGAACUGCAUCUCAGACUGGGGCGCUAGAGUACUGGAGAGGGUGGUAGAAUUCCACGUGUAGCGGUGAAAUGCGUAGAGAUGUGGAGGAAUACCAGUGGCGAAGGCGGCCACCUGGACAGUAACUGACGCUGAGGCGCGAAAGUGUGGGGAGCAAACA